UUGGCCAAGGGGCUGAAAACCUAGAAUCAAGAUGGCAUCCACAUCAGGUCCAGGGAACCCAGGUCCAAGGGCAUGGGGUGUGGAGCUUCAACAGCAAGAAGCCACUACAAAGCCACUGCAUACAGCUUUUCCUCAAGAUUCACCUCAGAGGUGGCCUCCUCCACUGAUCUGAGUUCCCCUGACAGAAGAAGCUGCUCUGUCCCCUCCCCGCUGCCCCCACCUCUUUUCCCAGCCCCGGCCAUCAACUGCUUGAUUGACAGUCGACGUAUUGGUCUCCACCACUGGAUGCCCCCUGCCCACAGCCCAGGGGCUGGCACAUGAUGUCACACAUACUCACAGAUGUUCAACAGGCUUGACGAGGCCUGAGGAUCUUCUCCCACUGUUCUUCAUGAAAGACUCAGAUACUCCUACAUCUGUUAGAACUGGAUAGAGAUCUGACCAUCUAAAUUCUACAUGCUGUGAUCCCAGGGGUCAUCUUGAGACAGGGACCAUGGAUGUAGUCAGAAUAGAGAGAACGCCUCCGGAGGGGAAGGGCAGGAUAUUUGCAAUCAGAGCAAUGUAACUACA